UACAGGGGGCUCGAGCGUUAGUCGGAAUCACUGGGCUUAAAGGGUGCGUAGGCGGUCCGCCAAGUGCUUUGUGAAAUCCCACAGCUCAACUGUGGAACAGCAGGGCAAACUGGAGGACUUGAGGCAGGUAGGGGCUGGAAGAACAGUUGGUGGAGCGGUGAAAUGCGUAGAUAUCAACUGGAAUGCCGAUGGGGAAGCCGUCCAGCUGGGCCUGUCCUGACGCUGAGGCACGAAAGCGUGGGGAGCAAACAGG
rnacentral:rRNA from 1 species